GCGCUUAGUGGCAUGCUUAAAAAUGUCAUUGGAACUCUUGAUUUUCGUUUCAAGUACAUGUUACAGGGGGAGACUUAUCCUGAGCCAGCUGUGUAUCUGUUUAGCACCUUCAAAAGAAGGGGACCACAGAAACAUGGCAUAAUCUCAAACAUAAUUGUUGCCAAAAGUGCACGUCAACAAGGUAUAAAGCAG